rnacentral:rRNA from 1 species
GACGAACGCUGGCGGCGUGCUUAACACAUGCAAGUCGAACGGAAAGGCCCUGCUUUUGUGGGGUUCUCGAGUGGCGAACGGGUGAGUAACACGUGAGUAACCUGCCCUUGACUUUGGGAUAACUUCAGGAAACUGGGGCUAAUACCGGAUAGGAGCUCCUGCUGCAUGUUGGGGGUUGGAAAGUUUCGGCGGUUGGGUAUGGACUCGCGGCUUAUCAGCUUGUUGGUGGGGUAGUGGAUUACCAAGGCUUUGACGGGUAGCCGGCCUGAGAGGGUGACCGGCCACAUUGGGACUGAGAUACGGCCCAGAAUCCUACGGGAGGCAGCAGUGGGGAAUAUUGCACAAUGGGCGGAAGCCUGAUGCAGCAACGCCGCGUGCGGGAUGACGGCCUUCGGGUUGUAAACCGCUUUCGCCUGUGACGAAGCGUGAGUGACGGUAAUGGGUAAAGAAGCCCCGGCUAACUACGUG